AUGAACAUUUUCUUUAUUUUCAAAAAUCUGGGUUAAACAGUCAAGCUGCAUGUACAUACAUCAAACCAAACCAUAACGACAACUUAAAAAAUAAAGAAACAGAAUCUUGCAAAUUGAUAAGACUCUACCAGACUAUUAACUAGAGAGCUGGACUAGAUGAACGAGAAACUCUGACCCUCUAGGACCGAGUGUAGAUGCUAUAUGUACUUUCCCACUCGAGUGAGCCCACGAGCACGUACGUGUGUGUACAUGUGCAGGCAGGCGUCACUCAGGGGAGAAAGAAAACCUUGAAAAUGGUACAAUAAAAUAAUUCAAGUUAGUGACCAUUUCCUAUAUCAUUCAGAAUGAGGUUUCCAGUGUUAAGAAAUUAUAGAUACCCUCCUCUACGUUAAAAAUUGACCCAACAUAGUGAAAACAUCAGCACACGAUUUUGUCGCUAGCUUUUGGAACAAAACAGCUACCCAGAAAAUAUUAACUGUUCAAUUAAAACACUGUGUUUCUUGUCGAAGUAGUUAGAGUGAACAGAUUGUUGUCAGUCACCAGCCAAGCAAGAGGAGACUUUAGGAAAGGUUACACUUGGAACUUAUCCAGAAGAGAUCCCCUCCAUCUGGAAGAGGUUUGCUGGGCUUCAGAAGGAAAAACUAAGCAAACGCAAAGCAACCCAUUCACUAUUCUAUGGCUACAUUUAAAGCAACCAUGCCCGUGUUGUUGAAAAUUUAAUUUCCAGUUUAAAUGGUCCAGACUACUUGGGGCAUGAACUUUAUACCGCCAGGUAGGAACAGAGCAAGGCCAGUAUGAGCACUCUGUGUGUUUGCUUUGCUUUGCUUUUUGUGGCGCCUCCCACAGCAAAUGAAGUUCCCAGGCUAGGGGUCGAAUGGGAGCUGCAGCUGCCGGCCUUUGCCCCAGUCACAGCGAUGUCAGAUCCACAGCCUGUGGCAACCCUGGAUCCUUAAGCCACUUAAGUGAAGCCAGGGAUCGAACCCAUAUCCUCACAGGCACUAUAUUGGGUUCUUAACCCACGGAGCCAUGAUGGGAACUCCUCUGUGUUUUCAAGGCCAUCCAGUCCAAACAAAGCAACCCAGCUCUGGUUCUAACAUUGACAACUGUAGACACUGGCAGUAGUUCAUUCAGUGUUCUUUUGUUUGUUUUUAUUGCUUUUAUUCUCUUACUAUUCUGAACGCAGUUCCAUAAAACUUCAAGUACAGCUAAGGAAAGCACCUCCCUGCCUCGCCGGGGCAGCUUCCUGCUGCUGAACCCGAACUUUUCUUGCAUUUGCAUUCUAAAACAAGUUUUGUUUCUCCUGACCUCUUGAUUUAUCUUCUUUCAUUUUCUAAUUUUGCACCUGUCGUCAGUUCUGAGUUUGGGGAGGGUGGAGAAGCAUGUAGGAUGGCCUCGAUAAACUCUGGUCUAGGCUCUCAGACCCCAAGACACAAGUGAGGAUUCCUUGCCUCUUCUCAUUUGGAAGCAAGGGACUCUUUUAGGAUAGUGUUUAAGUGGUAGUGGAGAAAACAAAGCAAUUUAAAUUUUAUUUGUAAAAAAGGUAUCUGAAUUUUCUAUUUUUACUAUAACGAUCAUGCACUAUUUCAGUAAUAAAAGUGAAGAAACAUGAUGCUGUGAGACAGCAAUUGUUUUUAGGUACAUUUUCUUGAAUGCGUUCAGCCCAUUUAGGUGAGGACUGAGCAUUUUUAGAUAUGAGGCUUCUGGCCAUAUUAUCUAUUUAAAAUAUACAUAUCUUUCUUCUAGUGGGUAACCUGAUCUCUUGAAAUUAUCUUAUUAAGCAAAAAAAAUUUUCAACCAAGCUUAUAAUUUACCCUUAUGAGUGCUUAGAUGACUGAUUUCUUGAAUGCUUGUCAUAACUAAAAAUCUUUUCCAUGUCCUCACAUAUAAAAUGUGUAUCACAAACUUUCCCCCUCAAAGUCACAACUUUCCCCCUCAGAAUUCUCCACUGUUUCCUGGCCUUUGGUGCUAUAGAGUACACGGCUGGAGCCGGGCUGUUCUGUUGUUUUCUGAUAGGCAACUUGUUACGCUUGGACUGGAGGCCUGCAGGAUUUUUCACUCUUGACUCUUGGUAGUUUAAAAUUUUGCCAGGUACAAGUCUCUUUCACGUUUUGGCUUAGCAUGCAGUGAGCCCUUGCCAUCUAAAUACGCAGAUUCUCAUUCUAUUCAGGAAGGAUUUCAUUUUUAUAGUCUAACAUUUUCCUCAAUAUAGUCUUUCCAUCAGGGAAGCAAAUGUCAAAAUGUUAACUAAUGUCUGUCUUCCAAAUCCAUUAUCCUUCCCUUCAUUUUCAUCACCUUUCCUUUGAGAGAACAUUAGGAAGACAAUCUCUCAAGUUUGUGCUGUACAUCGAGGUGUUUAUUAGUAUUAUUAUUAUUAUUGUCUUUUGGUCUUUUCUAGGGCCGCUCCCGCAGCAUAUGGAGGUUCCCAGGCUAGGGGUCCAAUUGGAGCUGUAGCCGCUGGCCUACACCAGAGCCAUAGCAACACGGGAUCUGAGCCGCAUCCACGACCUACACCACAGCUCACCGCAACACCGGAUCCUCAACCCACUGAGCGAGGACAGGGAUCGAACCCUAAACCUCAUGGUUCCUGGUUGGAUUCGUUAACCACUGAGCAAUGACGGGAACUCCAAAAUUUUUAUUUUUUUNCUGUCUUUUUUGAGUUUUUUUUUUUUAAGCAUCAAUAUUGUUCUUUCUUGCUUCCAAUGUGGAUUUUAAUCUCCUAGUGUGUCUUUAGCUUUCUCGAAAUCCUUCUUCCUAAUUUAUCUUCUUUUCCAUUUUAUUCUAUUGCUUUUUCUCUUAAGCCAUUCCCAUUUUAAGAUAAUACACUAUUGCUGGAUAGAAGCAAUUCUUCUCUUCCUUCAAUUAUGACAGAGACAAUGCUAUAUUUUUUUGUUUGUUCCCUGCAAUACACCACUUUCAUUUUCAAGUGUUCUGGAGGCUGUUCAUUUUCCCUGGUUCAGUCACAUGUUUUCAAUGACUCAUUUUGUUUUCUCUAUACUCAUCUUUAAACAUGGUCCUUUCCUUUCAAACCCAGGAAUCACCCUUAGUUAUACUAUCUGUCCACUUGCGUGUUUGUCAGAUGCCUUUUUGGGGAUGCAGAGGUUGAUGGUAAGGAGAUGUGCAUAUGUCCAAGAAUAUUUCUCAUCUAACACUUUUCCAUUGAAGUGGCAUCCUUUUCCUUCCUAGUGCCUUGUUUUCUGAUCCAAAGCCAUACAUGAAAAAAUCACAACAUUUGCAUGCCGUGCUACUUGGUUAUUUACUGUUUCUGCCUUCAUCUAAAGGGUGUUUUUCUCAGAACGCUCUAUGUCUCUAAUAGAUCUUCUUUGCUUUCUGCUCACGUUUUAGCCCUAGGAUUUUGAGCUGGACCGAAUGAAGAGGAGGUGGGUGAGGAGAUGGAAGGUGGGGAGGCGGGGGGUCGGGUGGGGGGGGAUGACAGAAGACACUUUCACUUCCCAGUGUAGCUUCUGGUUAAGAGAGGGGUUGGCCAGUUAUUUCUCUGGCUCCGGGGCUCUGAGCAAAGAUACAGCCAUGGUUACAGAGAAUAAGUAUCAAGUGUCUUUCAGAUUGCUUAUGUCACAGAACCUCUGUCUCAUGAAGACCAAGAAAACAGUGAGCUACGACCUGAGAGCUUUUGCCUCCCUCCAACUCCAAAUGCCUUGUAAAGUGUAUUGAUUCCUUCUAGAUUCUAGAAUGAAGAUUUGGCCCUCUUCUGGAUCUUGAUGAGUGCUUUUCUGGGAAGGCAGGCACUCUCUGGAGGCUUUUGCUAGUCAGAUGUUCCGCCAGAUGCAGCUCCAUUAAUUAAUUUUUAAAAAUCCAAAACUUCCCGGCUAUGUUAUGGAGGAAAGAUUCUGGAUUAAUUUCCUAGUCCUAAAUCUACUACUUACUGUCUUGUUGAUCUUUUAUAGGCUUUUAAUAUCUCUGGGCUCUCUCACAGUAACUUAGAACCUCUCGUUUUUUAAGUUGCAAAACGGAAAAACAUGUGCUGAUAAGAGAAAGAAGAGAAAACAAAUGACUAAAUAAGUAUUAUUUUGCUAUGAGGGGGCUUUAGCCUAAAGAUUAUAAAAGUCCUCUGACAUCAAAAUUAAAAAGCAAAAGUAAGAACCCUGAGCAUGUAAUUGUGUCAUAGGAAGUCCUUUACAUUUUAAGCAACAAUACCAAUGUCAAAACAGGUGCAGUUUGUAAGUGACUUGAAUUUAAUUAGAAUAAACUGGCAUGAUCGUCUGCCCCUAAGGUAGAUGAUAGAUAAUACAAGUUUUUAUUAAAUAAACACAGAAUGUUCUCAGUAGGCAGAAAAUGUCAUAGUCAUUCAUAGAAAGCCAUCAGGCUUUCCAGGAACUUUUUUUUCCCCUUUGCUUUUUAGGGCCACACCCACAGCAUAUGGAGGUUCCCAGGCUAUGGGUUUAAUUGGAGUUAUAGCUGCUGGCUACAGCUACAGUCACAAGAACAUCAAGGCCAGAUCGGAGCUGUGUCUGCGACCUACACCACAGCUCAUGACAACACUGGAUCCUUAACCUACUGAUGGAGGCCAGGGAUCAAACCCGCAACCUCAUGGUUCCUAGUCGGGUUCGUUUCCCCCGUGCCAUGACAGGAAUUCCUCCAGGAAUUUUUUUUUUAUGGCUAUACCCACAGCAUAUGGAAGUUCCCUGGCCAGGGACUGAAUCUGAGCUGCAGCUGAAGCAACGCAGGAUUCUAACCACCUUUGCAGUUUUAUUGUUAACCCACUGCGCUGCAGUAGGAACUCCUAGGAACUAUUAAAUAAUGCCAAUAUAUCAAAUUACUCCAAGAGUACAUAUAACGAAUGACAUAAUUUUUUAAAAGUUCUGUGAUAAAUGGACUUCUUUGGGACUAAAAAGGCAGUCUGAUCACUGGAUUUGGAGUCAGAAGACCUGGACUCAAACCUAAGUUCUCCAAUUUGUUAGCUCUGGGAGACUUUGGGAAAUUUACUUAACUUCUCUGAGUCUUGGUUUCUCAGCAAGUAAAAUGGGAAUAAUGAGACCUAUCUUACAGAGCUGUUGUGAGAAUUAAAUGAAAAUACAAGGGC
ensembl:lncRNA